UGGUUCCAUGGAGAAGAUUUAAUAUCCAUGGAAUUUUUCCAUUCUAUCUUUAUAGUGGUAAAGUUAAUGUUAUGCACCAAAAUGUUUUUUAAGACUUGUUCACUGAAAGGUUAAGUAUCUAAAUCACACCAAUGUGGUACCUCAGGGUUCGGUGCUAGGUCCUCUUUUCUUUACCAUUUCCACACACAUCACUGGGACCCAGGCACAUUAAUUUGUAUCUAUCACUGCUGCUCUAACAGCAUAAAGCUUUAUUUUUUUUUAGCACCUUGCCAUAUGGUUGCUAUUGUGUUUUGAGUGGUUGCUAGGUGGUUGCUUACUGACCCAGUUAAGUCAAAGUCUACAGAAGUAUUUUCUUACACGCUUAUAAUUAAAAGUUAUUUAUUGGCAAUCUAUGGUUCCAUGAAGAAGCUUAAACAACAAUGAAUUCUUUACAUUCCACCUUUAUACUUAAAAACUUUCUUUAGAUUAACACAAUUUUCUGUACAAAAAUACAUAUUUUAAGAACUGUUCAUUGAAGGAGCUCACUGUUCACUUUCUUUAAGGAAUUCAGAAUAGUACUUCUAUGACAUCACUGUGAGAAACGCCUUUUGGAAACUUUAUUUGUAAGAGUUUGCUUCAAGUUUCAUUAAUUUUGAUUCUGAUAUCUCAUGCAGUGAUAUUGUGUUUGCGAAAUCUGCUAGGUCAGAGCUGUUUUAAGCACAAUUUGAUCACAUGUUCAAGUAUUGUUUUGACUAGGAACCUUUGGAAAACCUUGAAAAGAAGGAAAUAGAACAAUGUCUCGCACUUGUCUUGCUUCCUAUUGCUUUUUCAGGAAAAUAAAGGCUUUUGUUCUGUGCAGAUUACACAUUAAGCUCAGCUAACUCUCUGGCUGACCCCUCAGACCCUCUUUAAUCUCAGGUAAAACAUCUGUAAUACCUGAGUGACCUUUGUGAUGGCUAGAGGUGACCCAGGUGUUCUUGGCCAGUGGAUGUUUGUGACAGGUUGACGUUGGGGUUUAUUAUGCUCGUCUCCACGCUUCUCCUCGUGUUUAACAGAUCCGCGCGUGGACGCCUACUGCUUGCCUGGACUUUUUCUCGCUGAUUAGACAAGUGGGCGAUUCAAGAGAGGAGAGCAGAACAAAAUAACCUGUGGCCAAAUGUCAGUAAAUCUUGUAGCCAUAGGAACGAGCUGCGAAGCGACAACAACAUCAGUGGCAGGGGACCGGGAAGCAGGUUUUCACUGCGGCUUCCUAAAAUGAUCUUUUUAUUCUGUCACGGAGGUUCAGAUGUUAUUGUCAUCUGUGCUUUGACUCUUUCUCUACCUCUCACAGGGACUGGAAAUGGCUCUUUUUUUUUAAUCAGAGCCCUGCUUUUAGUAGAAUCUCACUGAGUGUAAUUGUCAGUCUGCACACCGGCGUGAAUGGAUGUUACAAUAGCAUUGUGUGCCACAUGGCAGUAACCAUUUAAUUUCUCUCAUUAUUGUAGGCACGUGCUGAAGAUGUGUGUGGAAGCAGAGGUUGAUCCCCGAGUGGCUCAAGAUUUGGAGAAGUGUAGCAUUCCAUCACUUGCUCAGCAGUGGAUCCUCUACAGUGAAUGGGUGCCAUCAGAAUGAGAAUCCAAACCACUGAUAAAAAAAAUCACAAUAAUCCACAAGUAACCCACACCACUCCAGUCCAUCAAGUCACUUCUGGAAAAGUUUGCUGCUUCUUCAUGAACAAUAUGGGUGUGCGUUUCCAUAAUCCUCUCUCCAAGUUUCCAGGGAAACAGACGGGCAGAUCAGAGAACAGCAAAUCAAACACAAUUAGACCUACACGUCCUCUUAGCACUAUUUCAUUCAAAAAGCUUCUCUCUAACUGGCCAGCUAUAAGAUUCUUCUUCUUGUGAAUAAUAUACUAAAAAGGUUUAGUUGAUAAGGCAUUUUGAAGCUUGCCCAUCGCAACCCGCUCAUAUUAUCCAUGCUUUAUGAUUUUCCUGAUGGAGAGAAGCAGUUUUCCUGCAAGAGAAAUGGCACACUGCCCAUUUUUGUUGUUGUUCACAAUGGCAUACUGCUGCAGUACCACUCUUUCUAUAUUCUGCUGUAGGCAUACUCUGCUGUGAAGUAUGUAAUGUCUUUGCUAGAACUGUUUUGGCUUUUGUAAACAGUGUGCAUAUUUCUGUCCUAAUUCAAAUGAAGCGACUUUUUCACUGGAGAAAGCAAGAUUAUGGAUAGAUGACUCAUAUUUUCGCUGGAAAUGAUGCUUUGAAAUAAAAUGUAAAAAAAAAUCUUAUUGAUGGAUUUGUUUCAUACAAACAUGCAGCAAUUCUCAUCACAAGA